rnacentral:lncRNA from 1 species
GUAAGUAAAAGUUUUAACUGGAUGCUCUUUGCAAAGUGGAUUAGCCUCCAUAAGACAUGAUCAUAAGACAGUCAUCACUGGUAUUACAAAUCCCAAGAGUCUUCUUUGAAGUCUUUAAUAUGAACCAUCAAGGCAUAAAGUUAAGGUCACAGAGCUGUUGUCCUUAUAUCCCAGAGUGGAGGUGCAGAAUUCUCACUCUGGUGAAGACUGACAGGAUCAUCUACUAAAUACAAAGGAGUUAAAAUUCUCAGAAAGAAAAAUGGAAUUUUUUUGGAAUUCAGCUAGAGACAUGGAUUUGGAAAGAGAAAGAAAAAAUUAGUCUUUGUUUGUUUGUAAUGGCCAGUUGAUAAGAGAAAAGUGAUCCUAGAAAUUAUAGUCCCUGCUACUCAGUCCUGGAGCCACUGAGGGAAAAAUACAACCGAAACUUUCAAUACCUAAUGAAUUUUCUCCAACUUACGUGAGUGCGUGUAUAAC